ensembl:snRNA Gm22114 predicted gene, 22114
CUGCUCACUUCAGCAGCACAUAUACUAAAAUUGGAACGACACAGAGAAGAUUAGCAUGGCCCCUGCACAAGGAUGACACGCAAAUUCGUGAAGCAUUCCAUAUUUUU